rnacentral:rRNA from 1 species
ACUCCUACGGGAGGCAGCAGUGGGGAAUAUUGCACAAUGGGCGCAAGCCUGAUGCAGCAACGCCGCGUGAGCGAUGAAGGCCUUCGGGUCGUAAGCUCUGUCCUCAAGGAAGAAUAAAUGACGGUACUUGAGGAGGAAGCCCGGCUAACUACGUGCCAGCAGCCGCGGUAAUACGUAGGGGGCAAGCGUUAUCCGGAAUCACUGGGCGUAAAGGGUGCGUAGCGGUUUUUCAAGUCAGAAGUGAAAGGCUAUGGCUCAACCAUAGUAAGCUUUUUGAAACUGUUAAAACUUGAGUGCAGGAGAGGAAAGUGGAAUUCCUAGUGUAGAGGUGAAAUUCGUAGAUAUUAGGAGG